CUUAACCGAGGAAGGGCGUAUGAUACUGGCAAGCUAGAGUGCGGAAGAGGGGGGUGGAAUUCCAGGUGUAGCGGUGAAAUGCGUAGAUAUCCGGAGGAACACCAGUGGCGAAGGCGGCCCCCUGGUCCGACACUGACGCUGAGACGCGAGAGCGUGGGUAGCAAACAGGAUUAGAUACCCUGGUAGUCCACGCCGUAAACGAUGGGCACUAGGUGUCUGGGGUAUUGACCCCCUGGGUGCCGCAGCUAACGCAUUAAGUGCCCCGCCUGGGGAGUACGAUCGCAAGGUUAAAACUCAAAGGAAUUGACGGGGGCCCGCACAGGCGGUGGAGCAUGUGGUUCAAUUCGACGCAACGCGAAGAACCUUACCUGGGCUAGACAACGGUGGCCAGUCCGUGAAAGCGGAUCUUCCCUUCGGGGACUG
rnacentral:rRNA from 1 species